GACGUAGGAGGCGAGCGUUGUCCGGAUUCAUUGGGCGUAAAGAGCGCGCAGGCGGCUUGGUAAGUCGGAUGUGAAAUCCCGAGGCUCAACCUCGGGUCUGCAUCCGAUACUGCCCGGCUAGAGGUAGGUAGGGGAGAUCGGAAUUCCUGGUGUAGCGGUGAAAUGCGCAGAUAUCAGGAGGAACACCGGUGGCGAAGGCGGUUCUCUGGGCCUUACCUGACGCUGAGGAGCGAAAGCAUGGGGAGCAAACAGG
rnacentral:rRNA from 1 species